rnacentral:rRNA from 1 species
AGAGUUUGUCCUGGCUCAGAGUGAACGCUGGCGGCGUGCCUAACACAUGCAAGUCGAACGUGAACGGACUUAAGUUUACUUAAGUUGUCAGCUAAGUGGCGCACGGGUGAGUAAUAUAUAGUUAACCUGCCUCAAAGAAGAGAAUAAUUGUUGGAAACGACUUGUAAUGCUCUAUAUGCCUUUAUCACAUAAGUGAGCAAGGGAAAUAUUUAUAGCUUUGAGAUGGGACUGUACGGUAUCAGAUAGUUGGUGAGGUAAUGGCUCACCAAGUCUAUGACGCCUAACUGGUUUGAGAGGAUGAUCAGUCACACUGGAACUGAGACACGGUCCAGACUCCUACGGGAGGCAGCAGUGGGGAAUAUUGCACAAUGGAGGAAACUCUGAUGCAGCAACGCCGCGUGGAGGAUGACACAUUUCGGUGCGUAAACUCCUUUUAUUAGGGAAGAUAAUGACGGUACCUAAUGAAUAAGCACCGGCUAACUCCGUGCCAGCAGCCGCGGUAAUACGGGGGGUGCAAGCGUUACUCGGAAUCACUGGGCGUAAAGAGCAUGUAGGCUGAUUAGUAAGUUGGAAGUGAAAUCCUAUGGCUCAACCAUAGAACUGCUUCCAAAACUGCUUAUCUAGAGUAUGGGAGAGGUAGAUGGAAUUUCUGGUGUAGGGGUAAAAUCCGUAGAGAUCAGAAGGAAUACCGAUUGCGAAGGCGAUCUACUGGAACAUUACUGACGCUGAGAUGCGAAAGCGUGGGGAGCAAACAGGAUUAGAUACCCUGGUAGUCCACGCCCUAAACGAUGCACACUAGUUGUUGCUAUGCUAGACAUA